rnacentral:rRNA from 1 species
AUUGAACGCUGGCGGCAUGCCUUACACAUGCAAGUCGAACGGCAGCACGGGAGCAAUCCUGGUGGCGAGUGGCGAACGGGUGAGUAAUGUAUCGGAACGUGCCCAGUCGUGGGGGAUAACGUAGCGAAAGCUACGCUAAUACCGCAUACGAUCUGUGGAUGAAAGCGGGGACCGUAAGGCCUCGCGCGAUUGGAGCGGCCGAUAUCAGAUUAGGUAGUGGGUGGGGUAAAGGCCUACCAAGCCGACGAUCUGUAGCUGGUCUGAGAGGACGACCAGCCCCACUGGGACUGAGACAAGGCCCAGACUCCUACGGGAGUCAGCAGUGGGGAAUUUUGGACAAUGGGCGCAAGCCUGAUCCAGCAAUGCCGCGUGCAGGAUGAAGGCCUUCGGGUUGUAAACUGCUUUUGUACGGAGCGAAAAGGCUCUCUCUAAUACAGGGGGCUCAUGACGGUACCGUAAGAAUAAGCACCGGCUAACUACGUGCCAGCAGCCGCCGUAA